GUGAGGAAUUUUGCGCAAUGGGGGCAACCCUGACGCAGCGACGCCGCGUGGAGGACGAAGUCUUUCGGGAUGUAAACUCCUGUCAGUGGGGACGAUAAUGACGGUACCCACAGAGGAAGCACCGGCUAACUCCGUGCCAGCAGCCGCGGUAAGACGGAGGGUGCAAGCGUUGUUCGGAAUUACUGGGCGUAAAGCGUACGUAGGCGGCAAGUUAAGUUCAAUGUUAAAGCCCACGGCUCAACCGAGGAGAUGCAUUGAAUACUGGCUAGCUAGAGGGUGUUAGAGGAAGACGGAAUUCCCAGUGUAGCGGUGAAAUGCGUAGAUAUUGGGAGGAACAUCGGUAGCGAAAGCGGUCUUCUGGGACACACCUGACGCUGAGGUACGAAAGCGUGGGGAGCAAACGGGAUUAGAAACCCGUGUAGUCC
rnacentral:rRNA from 1 species